CUGGGGAAGUAGGGCUCCUUAUGGCUAACCCUGCAACCAUCACAGGGCCUCAGAUUCAGGAGGUUUAAAGGAGCAGAAGGGGAGGAAACCCAAGAAGGCCGGCUUUUCCUGGGCCAUAUCGGAGGAUCGAGUGAGGAUUGCAAGAAAUUUAUAGCACAUCAGAGGUGAGAGGUCAUGCUGGGGUGUGAGUGAUGACGGCUGGGGACGGCUGACCUGUUGUUGUCCACGUAGCGGAUGAGCAGUGGGUAGAGGGCAUACAGGUCCCGGCAGAGCACAGAGAACUCAUCCCGCACCAGGAGCUCCCCUUCCUCGGCUUCUGCCUUGGCCUCCAGGCGCAGGGCGGGUGGGGGCGCCUCGGGCCCGCGUUCCCACCAGCGGGGCAGGUAGCUGCACAGCAUGGGCAGUGUGAUCUCAAUGACGUGUGGCAUCUCCGUGUAGCGGGCCCCCGACUCGGCCAGCCCCCCGAUGUCUGCCAUGAGCCGCUCCAGCACCGGAAUAUCCGGGCACAUCUCCUCCACGCUGUUGGGGAGACUUGGUGGUGUACACUGAGCAGGCAUUGUACUCGUUCAGCUGGGGCUCCAGGAAUGCCACUGGCAUGGCUGCUGCCAGGCGGGCCAGGCACUCACCGAGGGCUGGCCGCAGCCUGGAAGAGGAGGCUGUGCUUAGUUCCCACGCCCCCUCUGCCCAGUCCUGGAUCCCAG
rnacentral:lncRNA from 9 species